rnacentral:rRNA from 1 species
GACGAACGCUGGCGGCGUGCUUAACACAUGCAAGUCGAACGGAAAGGCCCUGCUGUUGUGGGGUGCUCGAGUGGCGAACGGGUGAGUAACACGUGAGUAACCUGCCCUGGACUUUGGGAUAACUUCAGGAAACUGGGGCUAAUACCGGAUAGGAUCUCCUGCUGCAUGGUGGGGGUUGGAAAGUUUCGGCGGUUGGGGAUGGACUCGCGGCUUAUCAGCUUGUUGGUGGGGUAGUGGCUUACCAAGGCUUUGACGGGUAGCCGGCAUGAGAGGGUGACCGGCGACAUUGGGACUGAGAGACGGCCCAGACUCGUACGGGAGGCAGCAGUGGGGAAUAUUGCACAAUGGGCGGAAGCCUGAUGAAGAAACGCCGCGUGCGGGAUGACGGCCUUCGGGUUGUAAACCGCUUUCGCCUGUGACGAAGCGUGAGUGACGGUAAUGGGUAAAGAAGCACCGGCUAACUACGUG